rnacentral:rRNA from 1 species
UACAGAGGUCCCAAGCGUUGUUCGGAUUCAUUGGGCGUAAAGGGUGCGUAGGCGGCGCGGUAAGUCGGGUGUGAAAUCUCGGAGCUUAACUCCGAAACUGCAUUCGAUACUGCCGUGCUUGAGGACUGGAGAGGAGACUGGAAUUUACGGUGUAGCAGUGAAAUGCGUAGAUAUCGUGAGGAAGACCAGUUGCGAAGGCGGAUCUCUGGGCAGUUCCUGACACUGAGGCACGAAGGCCAGGGGAGCAAACGGG